rnacentral:misc_RNA from 1 species
GGAAUAAAAGUCGUAACAAGGUCUCCGUUGGUGAACCAGCGGAGGGAUCAUUACAGAGUUCUCGCAACUCCCAACCCUGUGAACCAUACCAAAUUUUGUUGUUGCUUCUGGCAGGCGGCCCCUCGGGCUCCUGCCAGCGGCGGCCUGUUCCAACCUUCUUUUGUAUCUUACCGUCUGAGCUUCUAAAAAAUAAAUCAAAACUUUCAACAACGGAUCUCUUGGCUCUG